CUCUUCCCAUCAGAGUGAGCAGAACCCCGAGGCCACACCUGUUUUAGACUUUAAAAUGCCAAGAAGGAGGGUGGGUGGCCCUUUAAGGAAGCCGCUACUUUGCAAAAAUCCUUCUUUCUGACUACCCUGAGCUCUUGUUGGUCCACGACCCUGAAGCCUCCCCUCUGCAACUCCUUCCUCCUCAGCCUUUCAGUACUGUUCUCCGGCUCCGUUCUCCGUCCGGUCUUGUGUCAUCUCACCCAGCCCAUACUUUCAACCACCAGGAGUCGAUGGAGCCCUUAGUUUCCUCUGGAGCUCCCGAUAAGUACGGCCAUGUGACUAACUGAGGACGUAUGUAGGGUUUUGGGAACAUCUCCUUAAAAGGUAACAGACACAUGCUUCUUUCCUCCUAUCCUUCCUGUGGCUGCCUGGAAUAUGGAUGUAAUGG
rnacentral:lncRNA from 1 species